GACAGAGGGGGCAAGCGUUGUCCGGAGUUAUUGGGCGUAAAGGGUACGUAGGCGGCUGGUCAAGUCUGGGGUCAAAGGCCACAGCUCAACUGUGGGAAGGCCCUGGAAACUGACCGGCUAGAGUGAGGUAGGGGUUGCGGGAAUUCCCGGUGUAGCGGUGAAAUGCGUAGAGAUCGGGAAGAACACCUGAGGCGGAAGCGCGCAACUGGGCCUCAACUGACGCUGAGGUACGAAAGCUAGGGGAGCGAAUGGG
rnacentral:rRNA from 1 species